UGUUUGAGUUGCUUACAAAAUAUAGAAAACGACAAUCGAUUAAUAUCUAUGAUGAUCUCUAUUCAGUAUAUUCAAAGUGGCAGCAAGAGUUCUUUUUAGUUUGUGACUUGCUAACUAUCAGGUCUAAAAUUUGCGUCAAUAUUUUGAGACUAACGCUAGAGACUGUCUAGUGAAUAGUAACUGGACACAAAUUGAGACCUUACCUCAAAAUGCGUCAAGUAUGGACUAGAGAUUGGUUACAGGAUCCCGCUAUUAAUUUGUGUACAAUGUCAGUAUUGCCGCAACCAUUCUGCCAGGAAUAAUGGGAUGCCAAACUUAUUCCAGUGCUAUGUUCGUAAAUGCAUCAUGACGAUUGCAUAACAAACAGAACGUUCAGAAAUGCCAAUAUUGCAGCACUGCAAUAAUCAAGCGUUCAAAAAGACAACACUUCUAUCAGCUGUCACUCAUAAUUUCUAUCAAAAAAUUGUUUACUGCAUUUAACUACGAUGUCUGACGAAAAUGAAAAUCUCAGUAAUGCGGAGACACAGUUAUUGCUGAGAAAACGGUAGAAUAUGGAGGACGAGUUUAAAUCGGGUAGAAGGAAAAAAAAUGUAUUGUGGAAGAAAGUUGUGACCGAAGUUAAAAAUGAAAAUGAAAACAAUAAAAAUUAAAUUGA